rnacentral:rRNA from 1 species
AGCGAACGCUGGCGGCAGGCCUAACACAUGCAAGUCGAGCGCCCCGCAAGGGGAGCGGCAGACGGGAGAGUAACACGUGGGAACGUACCCUUCAGUUCGGGACAACCCAGGGAAACUUGGGCUAAUACCGGAUACGUCCGUAAGGAGAAAGAUUUAUCGCUGAGGGAUCGGCCCGCGUCUGAUUAGCUAGUUGGUGAGGUAACGGCUCACCAAGGCGACGAUCAGUAGCUGGUCUGAGAGGAUGAUCAGCCUCACUGGGACUGAGACACGGCCCAGACUCCUACGGGAGGCAGCAGUGGGGAAUAUUGGACAAUGGGCGCAAGCCUGAUCCAGCCAUGCCGCGUGGGUGAUGAAGG